AUGGUUGUCGUCAGCUCGUGUCGUGAGAUGUUGGGUUAAGUCCCGCAACGAGCGCAACCCCUGUCGUUAGUUGCCAGCAUUCAGUUGGGGACUCUAACGAGACUGCCAGUGACAAACUGGAGGAAGGUGGGGAUGACGUCAAAUCAUCAUGCCCCUUAUGACCUGGGCUACACACGUGCUACAAUGGUUGGUACAAAGAGAAGCGAAGCGGUGACGUGGAGCAAACCUCAUAAAGCCAAUCUCAGUUCGGAUUGUAGGCUGCAACUCGCCUACAUGAAGUUGGAAUCGCUAGUAAUCGCGAAUCAGAAUGUCGCGGUGAAUACGUUCCCGGGUCUUGUACACACCGCCCGUCACACCACGAGAGUUUACAACACCCGAAGUCAGUGGCCUAACCGCAAGGAGGGAGCUGCCUAAGGUGGGGUAGAUGAUUGGGGUGAAGUCGUAACAAGGUAUCCCUACCGGAA
rnacentral:rRNA from 1 species